CAAUCUGGGUCCCGGGUUGCAUCACACACGUUCACGUUUUAUCGCCUGUCUGGACGUCGAGUAAACACCGGCGGUGCACGCGCGGAAAUAGCGGAAGUAGGAAACUGAUGAAGAGUGCGGCUAGGCUAAAGAAUACAACCACUCCACACCAAUGACUGUGGAAAACACACACACCAGAUCACAGAGUUUCUACCAGAGCCAAAUGUCAUCUACUCCUCACUGAAGUCGUCCACCAGUCCAACCACUGGAAUCCAGCUGCUGCUCUCUAACUGGUCCACACAGCAGCUCAGACCUGACACAUUCACUGUAAACACACUGGUUUAUAUUCUGUUUGUUCUCCUCAUGAAGUUAAAUACAAGCAGAGCUGAGAGUCGUCUGCUUAUCAAACAACUACACAUCUUAUAGGAACAGGUUUUAUGGACAGAAAUCUAAAAUCUGUGAAUCUGAAGCUCAGGAACAGAUUUUCCUGCAUCUACAGGAUGGAUCACAAAUCACAGUAAAAUAUGAUUUUUAACCUUCAUGACUGAAGUGUUCAGCCGCAAGUUUCCAUAAAGAGUAAAGUAAAAAGUGUGACUCAAAUUCGUAAAGUGUCUCAGAGCAGACACCAUGUUUAAGAAAAUCUUUAAUGUGCUCAUUUAAAGUUUAGAAAAGAAUUAAGUACUUUUAAUGAAUGCGAUGUUUGCCUGUAAGCUCUUAAAACUGUCUGUUUCACUGUGUAAUUUAAUAAACAAAGAAAUUAACAUGAUUUAAGACCUAAAUAUUAAAGUAUUACUUGUGAAGCAGCAGUACAGGUCAUUUGUAAUCAUGUGUUCAUGUGGAUUUGUUACUCAGAUUAGUAUCAUACAAAUUCACCUUUCAAGGUCAAACUUAUUUUAAUGAAUGCAAAUCAUUUUUUGAUGUAAAGGAAAUUCUUUGCAGCACUAAUAAACUUCCUUUAUGUACAAUGUGUUUGAUUUUCUCACAUGAACUCCUGUGAUGCAUUCCUCAUAACAAAACUGACAUUAAACACAUCAAAGGCA